GUCUACGGCCAUACCACCCUGAACGCGCCCGAUCUCGUCUGAUCUCGGAAGCUAAGCAGGGUCGGGCCUGGUUAGUACUUGGAUGGGAGAAUGCGCUUAGAAAUACAAUUCUCAAUAGGCC
rnacentral:rRNA from 1 species